UGUAAUCAAUGAUGCAAACUAUGUUCUUUUAUGAUAUAUCUGUGAUUUUAAUAUAAAAAUUCACCAUCUUUCGGCUGAGAUUGCA
rnacentral:snoRNA from 1 species